UUGUGAAGAAGCCAUUUGCUUCUCCUUCAUCUUUCGUCGUGAUUGUAUGUUCCUGGGGCCCCCCCAGCCAAGCAGAACUCAAAAUGUGACUGAAAAACAGAAGCAUUUGGAAUACGUAACAGAAGUCAUUAAAAAGAGCCAUGUAAUAUGUGCCUGCUUCCCCUUCUGCCAUGAUUGUAAGUUUCCUGAUGCCUUCUCAGCCAUGCAGAACUGAAUCCAUUAUUGUUUGCAUUAUCAUUGACGACUGUGAGAAUCUGC
rnacentral:lncRNA from 1 species